rnacentral:lncRNA from 1 species
CACCUUCACUCAGGAGGACUUUCUCCGCUGACUUGUCCUCCAAGAACUGGCUCACGCAGAACGGGACUCCUUCUAUGAAGAGGAUCUCUUCCUCUGAGAAGCUCCAUAACUUUGGUGCUGACUCAUUGAACUCCCAAGACGAAGAACAAGGAUCAAGAUCUGGGGUUGAUAUAUGGGCUCAGAUUCAAGAAGACAAGAACAAGAAGAAGGAGGAGAUCGAGCCGAGCCAAUAGGAGGACUUUCUCCGCUGACUUGUCCUCCAAGAACUGGCUCACGCAGAACGGGACUCCUUCUAUGAAGAGGAUCUCUUCCUCUGAGAAGCUCCAUAACUUUGGUGCUGACUCAUUGAACUCCCAAGACGAAGAACACGGAUCAAGAUCUGGGGUUGAUAUAUGGACUCAGAUUCAAGAAGACAAGAACAAGAAGGAGCAUGAGACCGAGCCGAGCCAAACCGAUGUAUGGAGUUCGAUUUUAUCCGACAAGAAGAAGAAGACGGACACGGAGACGGUUCCUCCACCGUACGUUCAUCCUCUGGUGAAACGAGCCAGCUCCUUGAGCGAGAAAAGCCUAGAGAUUUGCAC